GGUGGCUCAGUGGUAGAGUGCUUGCCUUGCAUGCAUGAGGUCCUGGGUUUGAUUCCUAGGCACCA
rnacentral:tRNA from 1 species